GCUGGUGUAGCUUAAUUGGUAAAGCGUCUGAUUUGUAAUCAGAGGAGUACAGGUUCAAGUCCUGCCGCCAGCU
rnacentral:tRNA from 1 species